rnacentral:tRNA from 1 species
AAAUAAGAAGCAAAAUUUGCAUUUAGUUUCGACCUAAAAUUAUGACUUUAGUCCUUAUUUU